UAAUUGGUAGUUCAUUGGUAAAAACGCUCGCCUGCCACGCGGUCGGCCCGGGUUCGAUUCCCGGCCGAUGCAU
rnacentral:tRNA from 1 species